rnacentral:misc_RNA from 1 species
GAAAUGCGAUAAGUAAUGUGAAUUGCAGAAUUCAGUGAAUCAUCGAAUCUUUGAACGCACCUUGCACUCCUUGGUAUUCCUUGGAGCAUGCCUGUUUGAGUAUCAUGAAAUCUUCAAAGUAAAUCUUUUGUUAACUCAAUUGGUUUCUACUUUGGUAUUGGAGGUCUUUGCAGCUUCACACCUGCUCCUCUUUGUUCAUUAGCUGGAUCUCAGUGUUAUGCUUGGUUCCACUCGGCGUGAUAAGUUAUCUAUCGCUGAGGACACUGUAAAAGGUGGCCAAGGUAAAUGCAGAUGAACUGCUUCUAAUAGACCAUUGACUUGGACAAUACUUUUAUGAUCUGAUCUCAAAUCAGGUAGGACUACCCGCUGAACUUAAGC